AACGCAUCUUGCGCUCGCUGGUAUUCCGGCGAGCAUGCCUGUUUGAGUGUCAUGAAAACUUCAACCCUUCAAUUCCUUGUUGAAUUGUAAGGUGUUUGGAUUCUGAAUGUUUGCUGGCUUGAAGCGGCCUUGGCUGCUUCGAAAGCGUAGCUCGUUCGUAAUACAUUAGCAUCUCAAUUUCGAGUAUUCGGAUUGACUCGGCGUGAUAGACUUUAUUCGCUGAGGACACCUUUACAAGGUGGCCGACUUUCGAGGUAGAAGCUUCUAAUUUGAUUUUAAAGUCACUCUUAUGUUAGACCUCAGAUCAGGCAGGACUACCCGCUGAACUUAA
rnacentral:rRNA from 1 species